rnacentral:rRNA from 1 species
CCUACGGGUGGCUGCAGUGAGGAAUAUUGGUCAAUGGCCGAGAGGCUGAACCAGCCAAGUCGCGUGAGGGAAGACGGCCCUACGGGUUGUAAACCUCUUUUGUCGGGGAGCAAAGAGAGUCACGUGUGACUCAUUGAGAGUACCCGAAGAAAAAGCAUCGGCUAACUCCGUGCCAGCAGCCGCGGUAAUACGGAGGAUGCGAGCGUUAGCCGGAUUUAUUGGGGUUAAAGGGUGCGCCGUCGGAGGUGCAAGUCAGCGCUAAAAUUGCGGGGCUCAACCCCGUACUGCCGUUGAAACUGCAUCCCUUGAGUGCGCGAGAGGUAUGCAGAAUGCGUGGUGUAGCGGUGAAAUGCAUAGAGAUCACGCAGAACUCCGAUGGCGAAGGCAGCAUACCGGCGCGAAACUGACGCUCAGGCACGAAAGCGUGGGUAUCGAACAGGAUUAGAUACCCUAGUAGUC